UACGUAGGGGGCAAGCGUUGUCCGGAUUUAUUGGGCGUAAAGAGCGUGUAGGCGGCCAGGUAGGUCUGCUGUGAAAACUCGAGGCUUAACCUCGAGCUGUCGGCGGAAACCAUCUGGCUAGAGUCCGGAAGAGGAGAAUGGAAUUCCCGGUGUAGCGGUGAAAUGCGCAGAUAUCGGGAAGAACACCCGUGGCGAAGGCGGUUCUCU
rnacentral:rRNA from 1 species